rnacentral:rRNA from 1 species
CUUUCUUUGCUGGCGACCGGCGCACGGGUGAGUAACACGUAUCCAACCUGCCCUUUACUCGGGGAUAGCCUUUCGAAAGAAAGAUUAAUACCCGAUAGCAUAAUGAUUCCGCAUGGUUUCAUUAUUAAAGGAUUCCGGUAAAGGAUGGGGAUGCGUUCCAUUAGGUUGUUGGUGAGGUAACGGCUCACCAAGCCUUCGAUGGAUAGGGGUUCUGAGAGGAAGGUCCCCCACAUUGGAACUGAGACACGGUCCGA